AUGUGUUUGUAAGUUUCUACGACAGCAAAGAAGCUGAAGCUGAUAUAAGAGACAUUUAUCAACAGUUUUAAGAAAAUUUGAGAAGCAGCAGCAGCUAUGGACCCUAAUGUCAACCGUGGUUCGCUCGAACUUGCCUGAGGACACUCCAACGUCAGCGAACCGGAUGUAAAACAGUCCGAAAGAGGGAAUUGCCUGCUGUUGUAAUGACAGACUGCCGCCGCUAGAUAGAGAUAGAAUACAGGAGUCAACAGGGUCUUACAAUUCAAGCACAACUCAACGAUGGCAAACCAGUCAGCAUAAUGUAUUUCUUGGGCAGCAGAGAGAUCAAGCAAUGGAACAGGAAACACACAGAUGUUUACUAUGGACAAUUUUGCUCUGACACACAGUGACAUGUCCUAUUGCGUUUUCUGCCAGUGGGAAAGGCAUCAGCGGAGUCUCUGGGAGCUGUCCUGAACACCUCUCGCUCUGCGUUUCCCCUGGUGUGAAUGUGGAACUCUAAAUCAAUCUCAUCACAGACUUCCUACAAUAUCUACAAGACCUCUGCUGCAUUGAGUAUUCAGACCAAAUGUUCAUCAUAAGGUUCCGACCUCCAACAGUGGAAGCGAAGCUAUUGUGUAAAUACCAUAGGUGCCACAGUGAAUAAAAGGUCACACCUGGGAGAGCUGCUGCCUGCUAUGAGAGACUGUUGACAGCUUGAUUGGAGCUACUGUAUCUGUGCUGACCACUGGAUCUGGAGCAGCUCUACACAGGUUUGUGUAUUUUGUUAAA
rnacentral:lncRNA from 1 species